CAUGAGCCGCCCGCCUACGAGCAGAGCCUCAGCAACCCACAUCCCCACGGCAACCCCCACCCGCACCCACGCUCCCCCAGGACUGCCCGGCACGGGGGUGGCGUGGGCCCACCACCUCCACUUGCUCCCCCUCACCCCCGACGAGUCCCAAACGGUUACCGCUCGUCUUCGCCCUCCCCGCACCGGCGAGGGCCCCCACAUCAACACCCCCAUCCGGGAGGACCACCCCACAGGUCCCCCCCUCAUCACCGGGUCCCCCAUGGAGGCCCCAGAGGCCCCCGGAAGGGCCUGCACGAACCCUACAGCGAGACGGACGAGGACGACUGGUGCUAGCACAGCGAAGGAACAGAAGAACGAGGGAGGAGAGGAAGAGAGGAAAAGGAGGGAGGAGAGGAGUCUCUCCGUCUCCCCGUCCUCUGUUCUUCGUUAUGCAGACUUGAAUGAAGGGUAAAGGGAUGCAGAAGGGGUGAGGAAAGGAAAGGAAAGGAGGAGAGGAGAAUUUGGGAGAAGUCUCUCCAUCUCUCUACCUCUACACCUGAGACUCAGGCUUGGAUGGAAUGAUGAGGGAUGGAGGGAUGGUUAGAGGAGAGGAGGCACAGUGUGUGGGUGUGUGAGACUCUAAACUCAGAGCAGACAUGACAAAGAGAGACCGCUGUAAGGCAGAACAACGCACCUCUCCUCUUCUCCUCUGUCUCAACUACCAUACCGAGAGUUCUCAGCGUGCCCAGGGGGGAGUGGACCGAGGGAUGGUGGAGAGGUGCUGACGGAGGUGUGCAGAGGUGCUGACGGAGGUGUGGAGAGGGAAGAAAGAACAAAAGAAUGAAAGGAAGGGAGGAGCAUGUAUACUAAGUUACAAGUGGCCAAUGAACGGUAAAUAAAGCCCCUCUCCCAGACUGUUUAGGAGAUAGGUGGGUUAGUUAAGUUAAGCUAAACCUGGGUGCUCUUGCUGUUCUGUCAUUCUAUUCUACUAGCCUGAUAAGUGUUAGGAGCUAACAGCUAAACGCUAGCUAGCUAACACUGCUCUUGGUCUAACCUAGACGGACAUGUUUAAAAAAGAAAAACAAUGAAAACCCAUGCCAGGACCCCCUAUCCUUAUACACGCCAAGCUAUGCCUCCAGAAAAAUCUAACUUGAAGACUAAAGAACAGAAAACAAACUUUUAAAAAAAAAGAGGAGAAAAAAAGGGAGAACAACCACUUUAACUUAAACUUUCCUUAAAGGGACUAGAACCAGGAAGCUCCGCCUCUACUGCAAAAACCAGCCAAUGACAGAGCUGGCUGAUAUUUGAUGAGUUUUAUCAUCUCCUGUUUACUGUUACAGACUCACGAAAUGCUGACGACGGACCUGGUGUGACCUCACUUCCUGUGGGUGGGGCCUAGUGUGACAUCACGUCCUUUUCCGGUGGGUGGGGCCACAGGGGAGGGGCUGGGGGCAGAGUUAUGGACCCUUAGGGGGCGUAGUUUGUUUGCCCCCACUAUCUUCUCUCCCCCCUUCCUCUCUCCUCCAUCCUGCCGAAAAAGAAAGGACAGGAAAGGAAAAUGAUGGGAGGAGGAGCGGAAAGAAAGAAGGGGAGGGAAAAGACGAUUUCUUCAGUAUUUCUUCUAUCGAUUACUUCUUCUUCUUCUAGUUCUUCUUCUUGGACAUUGCAGCUUGGUUCUUCUGUUGCAUUCGCUCAAGCCUCUGUUAAUCCGUUAUGAUGCAUGAAGGAAUUUAACAACAAAAAAAUACCUAGAGAGAAAAUCUACUGUUGGGGAUAUGGGGGCAUAUUGGGUUUAUAGAACAUUUACAUUUUAGAUUUUGAUUGAAGAAGUUCUCUUUUUCUGACUCUCUCUCUCUCUCUCUCUGACUCUGUCUAUCAUCAUGCGUUUGUUUAUUGAGUAAAUGUUUGUUCUAUAUCACCCUAAGGAUCCGAUGGACAACCUUUUUUAAGUUUGAUUUCCACCCAAUAGGGUUUUAAAGCUACCAUUUUCUUAUCUUGAAAGUACUCCUAUGUUCCUGAGAUACUCCUAAAUUUUACUAAGAUACUCCUGUUGUACUAAGAUAUUCCUGAGUUGUUUUGAGGAAUAAGUAAGAAUUGAGAGAGCUAUGAGGAGAGAAAACUUCAACCUCUUUAAAUAAUUGAUUUGUAUUGUUAAUAAUGAUGAUAGUCCUAUAAAUACUGAUAUCAAUGUCAAUGCUAAACGAUGAAUGAUGAUAGUUGUUUGCCGUAGAUCUGUUGUCAUGUUUUUUGGAGUUUCAAUCUGCUGUGUCAUCUAGUUUUCAUCGUUUAUUUUCCUUGGGUUCUGUUCAAACUGUUCCCAAACUGUUCCCAAACUGCUCCCAAACUGUUCCAAAACGCCUUUAACCGGGUCCGAUACAUGCAACACGCAUAAACUUUUCAGGGAGGGGUUAGAUGUCGGAUUGUGAUUGUGAGCAACACAGAUAGAACUGUGUAGCGUUGUGUAACGCAGCUCUUUACCUCUGAUAGGUCCCCCCUCAGUGGUAGACAGAGAACCGGGGCCACGUUCAGUAGCCAAAUGUUGUCAAACGUUGCAGAUAGAAAUGUCAUUAACAGAGCCGACAUGGUUCUUCAUUCUACGUGUAAGAGACGCAUGUUUGUUCUAAAUAGCAUUUUUCUAUCCGAGCGUUCCAAAAACAUUGUGUCCUACUGAGUGCGCCCCAGUCAUAGCCAAAUCAACCGGCCAACCAACCAACCGUCAGACCUCCACACAGUAUCUGAUUUACAGCUGGCUGUGAACCAUAGAGUUAGAAAGAGGACUUAUAUCGGGUUAUAUCCACCUAGAGCCCUCUUUCUACCUCUAUGUUGUGAACGAGCUCCACCUCACAUCCCCAAGAGCUCUCCACUAGCUGUCUAGUCUCUCUGUCUUUCUGAUUCUCCAUCACAUGUUUAGCAUUGAGCUGCUUGCUUUACCAAGCCAGAGGAGAACAUUCUAGAAACAUUUUAGAAUCUCUAAGACGUUCUAGAAACUCUAGUCUAGACUCUAGAAACUCUAGUACAUUCUAGAGCAUUCUUUAGAGAGGUUAGCUAACAUGAUUGUAUCCAGAUGUUUUGGAUUAAAACAUAUUUAUUUUGCUAUGAUUACAAUUAUGUAGAUUGUAACAGAUAUUCCCUAUCAUAACUCGUAAAAUGAUAGAUACAAUAUAGAUAUAUAGAGAUAUAAAAGUUUAUAUAUUAUAGAGAGAAAAACGUACUUUUAUUUACUUCAAACACUCUAGCUACGAAGCUAGAGCUCAGAAACUCUCCAUUGAAAUCAGCUACACAGAUUCAAAUUGCACUUUGUCACUGUAGCUCCACACAAUAUCCCACUACAAACUCUAUGCAGAUCUAUCCAACAUUCAUUUCUCCUUUACCAUUAUAGUGCAGAGUAGUUGUGCCAUUAUAAAUAAAUGACAAUACGUAAGUGAGCGCAUAGAAAUGGAAUGUGUAGAACAGGCCUCCCAAUUCAAGUCAAUGAUGGCAUAUCUAUAGAUUAUAUUUCUAUGGGUCAGAUGGUGUAGUGUCAGAUAGUGUAUAUACAACAUUUUAAUAUAGAUGGAUAGAAGUAUAUAGAUAGAGGGUAUGCCCACAUCGUUUUGCUUUUGCACAAUCACUCACAAAAUCCUUAUCCUUCAUAGCACAUCUUUCCUUUAUUUUUUACCCUCCUGCAGUGUUUUGUCCUCUCCUGCUCCCUCUAUCGUUCUCCCAAGCUGUCCAAUCCCAUAUACCACCCCUGCCCUCCGUAUAGGUAGGUCCAGAGAGAGAGAGGGGGGGCCUACAUAUACCACCCCUGCCCUCCGUAUAGGUAGGUCCAGAGAGAGAGAGAGGGGGGGCCUACAUAUACCACCCCUGCCCUCCGUAUAGGUAGGUGCAGAGAGAGAGAGGGGGGGCCUACAUAUACCACCCCUGCCCUCCGUAUAGGUAGGUCCAGAGAGCGAGAGGAGGGGCCUACAUAUACCACCCCUGCCCUCCGUAUAGGUAGGUCCAGAGAGAGAGGGGGGGGCCUACAUAUACCACCCCUGCCCUCCAUAUAGGUAGGUCCAGAGAGAGAGAGGGGGGGCCUACAUAUACCACCCCUGCCCUCCGUAUAGGUAGGUCCAGAGAGAGAGGGGGGGGGGCCUACAUAUACCACCCCUGCCCUCCGUAUAGGUAGGUGCAGAGAGAGAGAGGAGGGGCCUACAUAUACCACCCCUGCCCUCCAUAUAGGUAGGUCCAGAGAGAGAGGGGGGCUACAUAUACCACCCCUGCCCUCCGUAUAGGUAGGUCCAGAGAGGGGGGGGCUACAUAUACCACCCCUGCCCUCCGUAUAGGUAGGUCCAGAGAGAUAGAGGGGGGGCCUACAUAUACCACCCCUGUCCCUCCGUAUAGGUAGGUCCAGAGAGAGAGGGGGGGGGGGGCCUACAUAUACCACCCCUGCCCUCCGUAUAGGUAGGUCCAGAGAGAGAGAGGGGGGGCCUACAUAUACCACCCCUGCCCUCCGUAUAGGUAGGUCCAGAGAGAGAGGGGGGUCCUACAUAUACCACCCCUGCCCUCCGUAUAGGUAGGUCCAGAGAGAGAGGGGGGCCUACAUAUACCACCCCUGCCCUCCGUAUAGGUAGGUCCAGAGAGAGAGGGGGGGCCUACAUAUACCACCCCUGCCCUCCUUAUAGGUAGGUCCAGAGAGAGAGGUGGGGGCCUACAUAUACCACCCCUGCCCUCCAUAUAGGUAGGUCCAGAGAGAGAGGGGGGGCCUACAUAUACCACCCCUGCCCUCCGUAUAGGUAGGUCCAGAGAGAGAGAGGGGGGCCUACAUAUACCACCCCUGCCCUCCGUAUAGGUAGGUCCAGAGAGAGAGAGGGGGCCUACAUAUACCACCCCUGCCCUCCGUAUAGGUAGGUCCAGAGAGAGGUGGGGGCUACAUAUACCACCCCUGCCCUCCGUAUAGGUAGGUCCAGAGAGAGGGGGGGUCUACAUAUACCACCCCUGCCCUCCGUAUAGGUAGGUCCAGAGAGAGAGGGGGGGCCUACAUAUACCACCCCUGCCCUCCAUAUAGGUAGGUCCAGAGAGAGAGGGGGGGCUACAUAUACCACCCCUGCCCUCCGUAUAGGUAGGUCCAGAGAGAGGGGGGGCUACAUAUACCACCCCUGCCCUCCGUAUAGGUAGGUCCAGAGAGGGGGGGCUACAUAUACCACCCCUGCCCUCCGUAUAGGUAGGUCCAGAGAGAGGGGGCCUACAUAUACCACCCCUGCCCUCCGUAUAGGUAGGUCCAGAGAGAGGGGGGGCUACAUAUACCACCCCUGCCCUCCGUAUAGGUAGGUCCAGAGAGGGGGGGGCUACAUCUACCACCCCUGCCCUCCGUAUAGGUAGGUCCAGAGAGAGAGGGGCCUACAUAUACCACCCCUGCCGUCCGUAUAGGUAGGUCCAGAGAGGGGGGGCUACAUAUACCACCCCUGCCCUCCGUAUAGGUAGGUCCAGAGAGGGGGGGGGUCCUACAUAUACCACCCCUGCCCUCUGUAUAGGUAGGUCCAGAGAGAGCGGGGGGCCUACAUAUACCACCCCUGCCCUCUGUAUAGGUAGGUCCAGAGAGAGGGGGGGGGACCUACAUCAGAGUGGUGUACCUACAUCAGAGAGGUGUUUAUCUACCCAGAAGCCCCAGUGCCUCAGUGCCUUCUGUUUUCAGAGUCACAUCUACCCUUCCCAGCUUGCCCCUCACCAUCCCCCUCGCCCCCUCCUGUGGUUGAUCAACAUCAAACACACUACGCCUUAAAGAGUCCUAGUCGCUGUCUGUGAGCAGGUAGCAGUUGGGAGCAAGGCAGUAGGGACUGGGCUUUGCUUAGUUGGUUGGAACAGUGAGUAAAGCGCAGGAAGAGAGGGGAAUGGAAACUACUUUUGGGGAUCUCCUUCGCCCAGUUUCACACAGUGUAGUGAGAUACUGUAAUUGCAGGGGCGAAAAGGCAAUGAUUUGUUUACUUCUCAGGUGUCUCUAGAGAUAGAUAGCUAGAUAGAUAGAAUCUACACUAUAUAAUAGGCACGCUAAGGCAGUUAGUCAGUUAUAUCAUAUAAUAUGAUAUAAAUUUAUAAAAUCACAUGAAAAAAUAUAGGCCUAGGGUUUGAGUUUCUGUAUGGUUUGUUAUCUGGCAUGGGCAUUUGUAAUGUCUUCCCUUCUUCCCUUAACCUCCAUUACAGACCACCUACCAUUCAUCAUGAAUCUGCCGCUGAAAACUACUUGCACUUGACACUGUGGGUGUCCACUUAUCAGGCAGGAAACUGAUUACUCCAUUUCGGCUCAACAACACCAACAUGCUUGUCCAGAAUUGUAACUGCGGAUCCAAAAUGGCCGACAUCGACACACAACACUGCCGUUGAAUUAAAGCAUGUUGUGUGGAUUGUGAGCUCCAACCAUUAUAAAAUGAAUGACCAUUUUAAGGGGUUUAUUUUGUUUAUAAAAAAAAAAAUAAUCCAGAAGAUUUGUGAAAAGGAGGAUUUACGAAGUUUCUAGUUUACUCUCAAUCAUUCAUCCAUCCUACGUUCCUAUCCAUUUAUUUGUUGUCUUUCCUUUCUAUUUCUGAUGUGACUUCUUGAUCGACUCAUCCGUUUGUCUCUCGUUCUCUCUAUCAUUUUUUCCUCCUCUUUGAGACAACAGACGUCCUCCGAAAGCCAAUCCAACCCCAUUCACUCAAUCAAUCAACUGUUGUGCGUUUGUGAAAUGAUGUAAAUGAUUGGUGUGUGAGGCUAGUGUGUGUUGAAACAGAAAUAAGGGCUCUCCUAACAAACUAAAGGGGUUUCAUGUGCAGGUACAGUAGUGCUGACAAAAGUCAUCUGUAUGUAUCUCAAACCAUACAGUGGUGUGGUCUCCCCUUGUACAGCACUAGGUGUGUGCAUGCGUGUGUGUUGGGGUCAAAGGGUUAGAGGUCAAAGGUCAGGGUGAGAGCGGGGGGGGGGCACGUUCCGCUGAGGUGAAACGUUCUGGAAAAGAACAGAUAGAAAUGUAAUGAAUAGAGCUGACACGACACCCUUUUCUGUCAGUCUGACAAGCAUAUCCGUUCUACUUGAUGCAUUUCUAUCUGAAUGUUUUCUGUAACAUUUGCACCCUCCUGAACAGACCCCGGUUAGAAGUAGUGUCACAAGUCACAUUAUUUCACAAAUGGCACUGGAACGUUCUUGGAUCAUUUUCUAGCUCCGCCUUCUUCCGCUUGCCAAUACAGCCUUCAUUAUGAUGUCAUCAGCUGCCAUUUUCUCAUUGACCUCCACCUGCAUCCCCCAGCUCAUUUUGGAGUGGAGGGUCACCAACCUCAUCAGGGAUGGGUUUACUGGCAUGACAGUGAGACAUUCCCCUGUGUGUUGUGUUCGUGUGUGUUUGCUACGUUUGUGUGUGUGUGUGUGUGUGUGUGUGUGUGUGUGUGUGUGUGUGUGUGUGUGUGUGUGUGUGUGUGUGUGUGUGUGUGUGUGUGUGUGUGUGUGUGUGUGUGUGUGUGAGAGUGAGAGAGUGUGUGCGUGCGUGCAUGUGUGAGAGCGUGCGUGCGUGUGAGUGAGUGCGUGCGUGCGUGCGUGAGUGCGUGUGUUCACACCUCAUCUACAGUAAGUUAUCUUCAGUGCCUUACACUGUACAGUAGGAACCAAAUCUCCUUUGUAGAUAGACAACACACACAGCACUGAAUAACGCUUUCAUAAUGUUUCCAUAACGUUUUCUCUCCAACUGUACUCUUCUCUCCAUCCAGUAUUGCCUCACCUCACCUACCAUCCUAUUCCUUCUCUCUCUGUGAUCGACAAGUAAGGUCUGGAGGGAGGGCAUGGGUGAAUGAAUAGGUGAUCGUUGUGUUGGAUCUGUCAUCCUUCUCUUUCUCUCUCUGUACAUUUGCUCUGUAAACUCUUCUUGUGUACAUCUUCCAUAAACUUUCUGAAACAAUCAGACCAUGUCCAUCUAUUUUCUCUUUUAUCGCCGCUCAAUUUAUUUUUCAACAUUUACAUUUCAAUCAUUUAGUAGAUGCUCUAAUCCAGAGCGACAUAGUGUCUACAACAUCACUCCCACUCUUCAAUUGUGCUUGAAGUCUCACUCAAGUAAUGUCCAUGUACAUGUUAUACCAUACAUGAACACAAGGUGGUGCACUCGUGCUUUUAACAGAGUGUACAUUGGUCGACAUAACGUAACAUUCAAAGGCCUAUGUGUAUGUUGUCAUUACAUUGCUUUCGCAGGUGAACGGGUGAGUAUCGUGUGUGUAUGUGCGCAUGUGCAUGUUUGGAGGCUUCAGUGAGUGUGUGUGUGUGUGCGUGUGCGUGCGUGUGUGUGUGUGUGUGUGUGCGUGUGCGUGCGUGUGUGUGUGUGCGUGCGUGUGUGUGUGUGUGUGUGUGUGUGUGUGUGUGUAUCUUUACGUGACAACACACACACAGCGACAACACCAAGAUUCUUGACGACCGUGGGUUGAUUCCCUAGAUAUGUGUGGAGCGUCUUCUACUGUCACAAUGGAAACCCUCAAGGCCCGUCACUCUUCAUUCCAUAAAGUCUCCCAACCAUCACAUUAUAAUAUCACAAUACCAUCAAUUUGUCCCAUAGACACUGAUAUGAGAUCCGUUUUCAGUGUUAACCUCCUUAUGGUGAAGCAUAGGAGUGAGGUGGGGUGAAUCUACAGUAGAAACCAUACCAUAUCAGUCCAGUGCCACAGUAGAGAACCAUACAGGACAGGAGUCAUUUUAGGAAGCAAGAAGAGAAAAUACACUACAUACACUACAUGGCAAUUUAAGGUAAAAAGAGAAGUAUUUAAAUAACAGAUUUGCAUGUGCAAUGUGCAUGCCACUACGUGGGGUUAAAUAAGUCAACUUCAGGAAUAAAAUUAAAAAAUAAUAUAAAGAGAAAAAAUAAAGUAUAUAUAUAUAUGUAUAAAUAUAUAUAGAUAGAUGUUUUUAAGAGCAAUGUGUUCCUUUUUCUUCUAUUUUUAAAAACAAAAAACUGGAGAAAAAAACUUGGACAAAAAAAAAUAGAUAGAAAAUCUUUAAAAAGAAGCAGAACUUUGGUGAUGUAAUCAAAGAAUGUUUUUGUUUGCUACUUGCCAGUUAUUUCACUAAAGAGGGGGAACUGCGACGGCGGGGCGGUAGACGAUUUAACACUUUAAACAAAAUGUUGAAACAUUACAUUACAACAACAAAAAUGAAGAAAAGAUAAAUAAAAGAUAAACGUGGAAUGAAGGAAUACAUUUUUCCUUAAAGAAAAACAAAAAUCCCUUGAUUGAGAGUCUUGAGAGCUGCCUCAUGAUUCUAUUUCUGAUUUUACCCGUUUAUUCUGGCUAUGAAAUCUCUUUCUCUCUCUAUCUCUCUGCUAUUUCUACCAGUGCAUUUUGUUACUCCGAACAGAACUCUUCCUAAGGAACCUGAAUAAAACCAGAGAGAAUGCAUUCUA